rnacentral:rRNA from 1 species
AGUGAACGCUGGCGGUAGGCCUAACACAUGCAAGUCGAACGGCAGCACAGUAAGAGCUUGCUCUUACGGGUGGCGAGUGGCGGACGGGUGAGGAAUACAUCGGAAUCUACUUUUUCGUGGGGGAUAACGUAGGGAAACUUACGCUAAUACCGCAUACGACCUACGGGUGAAAGCAGGGGAUCUUCGGACCUUGCGCGAUUGAAUGAGCCGAUGUCGGAUUAGCUAGUUGGCGGGGUAAAGGCCCACCAAGGCGACGAUCUGUAGCUGGUCUGAGAGGAUGAUCAGCCACACUGGAACUGAGACACGGUCCAGACUCCUACGGGAGGCAGCAGUGGGGAAUAUUGGACAAUGGGCGCAAGCCUGAUCCAGCCAUACCGCGUGGGUGAAGAAGGCCUUCGGGUUGUAAAGCCCUUUUGUUGGGAAAGAAAAGCAGCAGGUUAAUACCCCGCUGUUCUGACGGUACCCAAAGAAUAAGCACCGGCUAACUUCGCG